rnacentral:rRNA from 1 species
UACGGAGGAUCCGAGCGUUAUCCGGAUUUAUUGGGUUUAAAGGGAGCGUAGGUGGAUUGUUAAGUCAGUUGUGAAAGUUUGCGACUCAACCGUAAAAUUGCAGUUGAAACUGGCAGUCUUGAGUACAGUAGAGGUGGGCGGAAUUCGUGGUGUAGCGGUGAAAUGCUUAGAUAUCACGAAGAACUCCGAUUGCGAAGGCAGCUCACUGGACUGCAACUGACACUGAGGCUCGAAAGUGUGGGUAUCAAACAGG